UGACUUGUGACACUGUAGGUGUUAAUUCACCCCUCCCCCUCAUGUACGUCACACACCGACUGAAUCAAGCCAGUGAGUCUCCGAGUUCAACAAGAAGGCAGACACUUCGUCCAUGACCGUGGUGUUAUAGCAUAACAUUUUCGAUCCAUAUUCCAAAAAUGGAUACGAACAAUUCUAUGCUGAGGCCAACACUGGCUAUCUAGCUUGGAGACUCAAAACAGUCCAACGCACCACCUAUGACAGCUUUCGUCAGCGUUCCAGGAACGAUUUCCAGGACAGCCCAACAACCCAACGAGAGACUCUGUUAAUUGGUGGACAGCUCUUUGGUGAGGAGUGCAGAGAGGCUCUCUCAACAAUUCAACACUCAACUGAUCAAUCUGUGGUUAUAACAUCUUCCGUCUUGGAUGUUUUUCAGCGCUUUCUUGACACACCCGGAUUGGAUUUCUCAAUGAUGUUUGGGGCUGAAGUAUCUGGGCAGUUUCCUGCAAAGUGGCCUUCAUAUUUCAAGGACAAAGUCAUCUCAGAAUGCCAGUCUUCCCCAAAGUCUCCAUGUCGAGGAGUUGCGGGCUUUUGACACAGGCUGAGAAUGACUGAUGUCUUCAAGGCUGGGAUAGUGAUAUGUCAGCUCUUCUGUUGCAUCUCCUGCCUCCUACAUCAAGAGGCCACAAAAAACAGCCAAAGGAAGCUCAGCCCAGGCAGCCAACCAUCCUGUAAGGUGUAUUAAGGAAGGAGCCAGCAUCACUACAUUCCUGGAGAAAGUUGGUGCUAGACAGCCCUUCCUCCUCUGCAUCGGUGAGCAAAAGAAGAACAUUGAAAGAUUCUUCAUCAUUGUGGACCAGAAAGAUGUCCCCUUCAACGCUCGGACAUCGGCGGCUGCUGUUGGUGUGUUAUUCAAAGCUCACUAUGUCUUCAGCAUCUCCUACAACGAAGCUCUUUCCAGUUUCUACACCCUCAUUCAAACCACGGUGUACAACAUCGAUGUACUUUGAUGACCAUUUCCAUGCAUAUUGUGUAGAGGAGCAAAGCAGCGAACGUGUUCUGAUUGGUCUUGACGAACUGCCAUAUGUUAGACCUUUUGAUAAACUACUCUAAUGAGAGUGACAGAGCAUACAUUGUUCCAUAUUGUUGUAUGUUUUGAAAAGCAUUGUAAAAUGUGUAUGUGAUGCACUGGUUUUAAAAUAAAUAUGUUUUAAAACUA